CCUGCCUUGGCUUAGAAAC
rnacentral:snRNA from 1 species